rnacentral:rRNA from 1 species
UACAGAGGGGGCAAGCGUUGUUCGGAAUUACUGGGCGUAAAGGGCGCGUAGGCGGCCUGCUAAGUCGAACGUGAAAUCCCUGGGCUCAACCCAGGAACUGCGUCCGAUACUGGUUGGCUUGAAUCCGGGAGAGGGAUGUGGAAUUCCAGGUGUAGCGGUGAAAUGCGUAGAUAUCGUGAGGAACACCAAUGGCGAAGGCAGCUUCCUGGACAGUUACUGACGCUCAGGCACGAAAGCGUGGGGAGCAAAAGGG